CAAGUCGAGCGGCAGCGCGGGGGCAACCCUGGCGGCGAGCGGCGAACGGGUGAGUAAUACAUCGGAACGUGUCCAGUAGCGGGGGAUAACCUGUCGAAAGAUAGGCUAAUACCGCAUACGAUCUACGGAUGAAAGCGGGGGACCGCAAGGCCUCGCACUAUUGGAGCGGCCGAUGUCGGAUUAGCUAGUUGGCGGGGUAAAAGCCCACCAAGGCGACGAUCCGUAGCUGGUCUGAGAGGACGACCAGCCACACUGGAACUGAGACACGGUCCAGACUCCUACGGGAGGCAGCAGUGGGGAAUUUUGGACAAUGGGGGCAACCCUGAUCCAGCCAUGCCGCGUGAGUGAAGAAGGCCUUCGGGUUGUAAAGCUCUUUCGGCGGGGACGAAACGGUUCGUGCCAACACCGCGAACUAAUGACAGUACUCGCAGAAGAAGCACCGGCUAACUACGUGCCAGCAGCCGCGGUAAUACGUAGGGUGCAGGCGUUAAUCGGAAUUACUGGGCGUAAAGCGUGCGCAGGCGGCUCCUUAAGUCAGAUGUGAAAUCCCCGGGCUUAACCUGGGAACUGCGUUUGAAACUGGGGAGCUUGAGUGUGGAAGAGGGGGGUGGAA
rnacentral:rRNA from 1 species